GCUGGAACAAGACUGAUUUACUGGCACACAGAACUCACAAUUUAUGCAACACAAAACUCCUCCUCUGGGCCAGGCUAGAUAAUUGAGUUUCUACAAUACACAAAGCUCAAUUAUCUGCUGGCCAGAAACAUUACAAUUUAUAACAAUUUCAGAAACAUACUUUUUAUAAGACAUACAAAUAUACUUUUAACAUCCCUGGGUAGCUGAGGAUACUGGUAGUCACAUAUUCCGUUCGGUAGUUUCCGUGUCGCAUCGUGUGGAAGUUUGACCGGCUUGCCAUGUGGAGGUAUCCGAGUUACAGUUCCAUAGAAUCAGUAGCAAGAGCCGGUCUCCGUUCGCAUCUAACUACACAAAAACCACCGUUCGUAUGGUUCAGCUGGUUACCUGUGAAUGUUCCCCUCAUUCGGUAGAUACUAUCUACCGAACGCCAGUUUGAUUCGUGGAGGGGAACGUAUUCAUCCAGGACUUCCAU